rnacentral:rRNA from 1 species
AUUGAACGCUAGCGGCAUGCCUUACACAUGCAAGUCGAACGAGUGGCAGAUGGGUGAGUAAUAUAUAGGAACAUGCACACUAGGGGGGUAAAACUACUCGCAAGUGUGGCUAAUAACUCAUACUUCUAUAGCGUCCGUUAUCGGUGUAGCUAGUUUGUGGGGUAAAGGCUAACCAAGGCAACGAUCCGUAUCUGGUUAGAGAGGACGACCAGCCACACGGGGACUGAGACACGGCCCGGACUCCUACGGGAGGCAGCAGUGGGGAAUUUUGGACAAUGGGGGAAACCCUGAUCCAGCCAGCCCGCGUGUAUGAGAAGGCCUUCGGGUUGUAAAGUACUUUUGGCAGAGAAGCGGUAUCUGCAGAAUAAGCACCGGCUAACUACGUGCCAGCAGCCGCGGUAAUUC